rnacentral:rRNA from 1 species
AGUGGAUGGGGAGCAACCUAGUUGUGCGUGUGUAAAGGUAGUGCCAAGAAAAGCGGUGAUCAUGAUGAAAAUCAAUUCCCGGUACCCGAAACCGACACAGGUGGGCAAGUAGAGAAUACUAAGGGGCGCGAGGUAACUCUCUCCAAGGAACUCGGCAAAAUGACCCCGUAACUUAGGGAGAAGGGGUGCCACCGAGAGGUGGUCGCAGUGAAGAGGCCCAGGCGACUGUUUAGCAAAAACAUAGGUCUCUGCAAACUCGAAAGAGGAGGUAUAGGGGCUGACGCCUGCCCAGUGCCGGAAGGUUAAAGAAGUUGGUCAGUCUUAGGAUAAAGCUAGCGACUGAAGCCCCGGUGAACGGCGGCCGUAACUAUAACGGUCCUAAGGUAGCGAAAUUCCUUGUCGGGUAAGUUCCGACCCGCACGAAAGGCGUAACGAUCUGGGCGCUGUCUCGGAGAGAGGCUCGGCGAAAUAGGAUUGUCUGUGAAGAUACGGACUACCUGCAUUUGGACAGAAAGACCCUAUGAAGCUUUACUAUAGCUUGGAAUUGUGUUCGGGCUUCCUGUGCGCAGGAUAGGUGGGAGGCGAAGAAGGUAUUCUUGUGGGGAUACUGGAGCCAACGGUGAGAUACCACUCUCAGGAGGCUAGAAUUCUAACUUAAUUAAGGACAGUUUCAGGUGGGUAGUUUUGACUGGGGCGGUCGCCUCCAAAAAGGUAACGGAGGCGUACAAAGGUUCCCUCAGACUGGUUGGAAAUCAGUCGCAGAGUGCAAAGGCAGAAGGGAGCUUGACUGCGAGAAGUACAGUUCGAGCAGGGUGGAAACACGGUCUUAGUGAUCCGACGGUGCUGUGUGGAAGGGCCGUCGCUCAACGGAUAAAAGUUACUCUAAGGAUAACAGGCUGAUCUCCCCCAAGAGUUCACAUCGACGGGGAGGUUUGGCACCUCGAUGUCGGCUCAUCGCAACCUGGGGCGGAAGUACGUCCCAAGGGUUGGGCUGUUCGCCCAUUAAAGCGGUACGUGAGCUGGGUUCAGAACGUCGUGAGACAGUUCGGUCCAUAUCCGAUGUAGGCGUGAGAAUAUUGAGAGGAGCCUUCCUUAGUACGAGAGGACCGGGAAGGACGCACCGCUGGUGUACCUGUUAUGAUGCCAAUUGUAAACGCAGGGUAGCCAAGUGCGGAGAGGAUAACCGCUGAAAGCAUCUAAGUGGGAAGCCCACCUCAAGAUGAGUAUUCUGGUGUAAGGUCACGGGAAGACGACCCGUAAAUAGGCACGAGGUGGAAGUGCAGAGAUGUAUGAAGCCGAAGUGUACUAAUAGACCGUCGGCUUGACC